CUACGGGAGGCAGCAGUAAGGAAUAUUGGUCAAUGGACGAAAGUCUGAACCAGCCAUGCCGCGUGAAGGAUUAAGGUCCUCUGGAUUGUAAACUUCUUUUAUAUGGGACGAAAAAAGGUCUUUCUAGAUCACUUGACGGUACCAUAUGAAUAAGCACCGGCUAACUCCGUGCCAGCAGCCGCGGUAAUACGGAGGGUGCAAGCGUUAUCCGGAUUCACUGGGUUUAAAGGGUGCGUAGGCGGGCAGGUAAGUCAGUGGUGAAAUCCUGGAGCUCAACUCCAGAACUGCCAUUGAUACUAUCUGUCUUGAAUAUUGUGGAGGUAAGCGGAAUAUGUCAUGUAGCGGUGAAAUGCUUAGAUAUGACAUAGAACACCCAUUGCGAAGGCAGCUUACUACGCAUAUAUUGACGCUGAGGCACGAAAGCGUGGGGAUCAAACAGGAUUAGAUACCCCCGUAGUC
rnacentral:rRNA from 1 species